AGCUGGUCUGAUGCUAGUGGGUUACCAAUACUUAUCAAUAUUAAUGUCACUAAAAAGUUGCCAUACAAUCCAGCACUGCUAAAUCUGACUGAUUUUUU
ensembl:misc_RNA Y_RNA Y RNA